rnacentral:rRNA from 1 species
UACGGAGGGUGCAAGCGUUAUUCGGAAUUACUGGGCGUAAAGCGCGUGCAGGCGGAUGGAUAAGUCUGAUGUGAAAGCCCCGGGCUUAACCCGGGAAGUGCAUUGGAUACUGUUCAUCUUGAGUACUGGAGAGGAAGGGAGAAUUCCCGGUGUAGAGGUGAAAUUCGUAGAGAUCGGGAGGAACACCAGUGGCGAAGGCGCCCUUCUGGACAGCUACUGACGCUGAGACGCGAAAGCGUGGGGAGCAAAC